rnacentral:lncRNA from 1 species
UUAUUCAUGUUUUAAUUGCAUUAGGAAAGGCAUGUUUAAAUUGCAUUAUCAUUAGUGUUAAACUUAGAAAAUUCAGAUUUGUGCCAGACUGAGUUGGCUAAUAUUUUUAUUCAUGAAAAACUUAGCCGAUCCGAUACUUAGUCGACUCACAAUUAUUUUGAGCCGACUAAGUUGUCAAAAAUCCUAUUUUUUAAACAAAAUUUUCAUAAGACCUAGGGUGUUUUGUUUCUUAACUGAUCAACCUUUAGAACUCUAGAAACUUUAAAAUCCUCUCCUUAAAACCCUAAUCCACCUCAAAUCGGAGAGAUUUUUGGAUCCAUGGCACCCAAAAAAUGUGUUGGUUCGAGAUUGAAGCGUCAGUGCCCCAUUUCGCAGCCA